UUUAUGGAGAGUUUGAUCCUGGCUCAGGAUGAACGCUGGCGGCGUGCCUAAUACAUGCAAGUCGAGCGAACGGACGAGAAGCUUGCUUCUCUGAUGUUAGCGGCGGACGGGUGAGUAACACGUGGAUAACCUACCUAUAAGACUGGGAUAACUUCGGGAAACCGGAGCUAAUACCGGAUAAUAUUUUGAACCGCAUGGUUCAAAAGUGAAAGACGGUCUUGCUGUCACUUAUAGAUGGAUCCGCGCUGCAUUAGCUAGUUGGUAAGGUAACGGCUUACCAAGGCAACGAUGCAUAGCCGACCUGAGAGGGUGAUCGGCCACACUGGAACUGAGACACGGUCCAGACUCCUACGGGAGGCAGCAGUAGGGAAUCUUCCGCAAUGGGCGAAAGCCUGACGGAGCAACGCCGCGUGAGUGAUGAAGGUCUUCGGAUCGUAAAACUCUGUUAUUAGGGAAGAACAUAUGUGUAAGUAACUGUGCACAUCUUGACGGUACCUAAUCAGAAAGCCACGGCUAACUACGUGCCAGCAGCCGCGGUAAUACGUAGGUGGCAAGCGUUAUCCGGAAUUAUUGGGCGUAAAGCGCGCGUAGGCGGUUUUUUAAGUCUGAUGUGAAAGCCCACGGCUCAACCGUGGAGGGUCAUUGGAAACUGGAAAACUUGAGUGCAGAAGAGGAAAGUGGAAUUCCAUGUGUAGCGGUGAAAUGCGCAGAGAUAUGGAGGAACACCAGUGGCGAAGGCGACUUUCUGGUCUGUAACUGACGCUGAUGUGCGAAAGCGUGGGGAUCAAACAGGAUUAGAUACCCUGGUAGUCCACGCCGUAAACGAUGAGUGCUAAGUGUUAGGGGGUUUCCGCCCCUUAGUGCUGCAGCUAACGCAUUAAGCACUCCGCCUGGGGAGUACGACCGCAAGGUUGAAACUCAAAGGAAUUGACGGGGACCCGCACAAGCGGUGGAGCAUGUGGUUUAAUUCGAAGCAACGCGAAGAACCUUACCAAAUCUUGACAUCCUUUGACAACUCUAGAGAUAGAGCCUUCCCCUUCGGGGGACAAAGUGACAGGUGGUGCAUGGUUGUCGUCAGCUCGUGUCGUGAGAUGUUGGGUUAAGUCCCGCAACGAGCGCAACCCUUAAGCUUAGUUGCCAUCAUUAAGUUGGGCACUCUAAGUUGACUGCCGGUGACAAACCGGAGGAAGGUGGGGAUGACGUCAAAUCAUCAUGCCCCUUAUGAUUUGGGCUACACACGUGCUACAAUGGACAAUACAAAGGGCAGCGAAACCGCGAGGUCAAGCAAAUCCCAUAAAGUUGUUCUCAGUUCGGAUUGUAGUCUGCAACUCGACUACAUGAAGCUGGAAUCGCUAGUAAUCGUAGAUCAG
rnacentral:rRNA from 1 species